GUUGCUUUCACUCUAGCUAGUAGUGAACAUACUAGCACCGAACAGACGACUAAACAAGGAAAAUCAUGGCAUUUGGUUUUGCCGGGUGAUCUCGAAAAUUGCAUAAACUGACUUGCUCACAUGAUUAUUCUGUCUUCCAGGCAGCAGAUUUCAUUCAUGUCUUCUUGUAGUGCAAACAAAUUCCGUGGAACCUAAAAUUGGUACAUAGAUUAGCAUGCACCUGAUGAUUAAAAGAAGUCUGAGCAAUAUUGAUUAGUUCACUGCAUAUUGGAUCCUGACAUGAGCAAGCAUAUAGCGCACCUGAGUUGAUAAACUGUAAUAUCGGACUUUGAGUUGGACACAAACAUAAAGGAUCAUCCCUCAUAAAUGGAAAAUGAUUUGAGAAGUGUGGAGACCAAUUGAUGAAUAUAGCCAUAUUUAGCAUAAACACAUGCGGGGAAAAGUGAUUUUUUAUUUAAGAAACAGGGUGAGAAUUGGAGCAGCUGCUCCAGGAAGGACGCCUAACCCUGGACGUCCCAGCACCUUGUGGAAGGCUAAUCGUGGAUUCGCUGAGAAACCAGGGGAGAUUGUGAUCGUGCCUGCAAUUGGCACAAGCUUUGAUACGCUCGGCGAGGCCUAUGACUUUCACAAUAUCUACUCCUGGGAGAAGGCGUUCGGGAUAAGGCACGGGAAGAGCAGACUGAAUGUGGAGAAGACAAAAUGCAUGGAAGUUUGUGUUUGUGCGGGAAAACCCGGGGUGGAGGACACUUGAUCGUGCUGAUGCGAAUGCCCUACACUGAUAAGAUUGCUCCGUUCAAAGGCCAAUGGUUGGUACAUAGCUGAGCAUCAUGAGCAGCACAACCACUCGUUGUGUCCAACAUAUGGGCAGACAAUACACUGGCAUUUGCACAAGCACAUUGAUGUCUACAGCAGAGAUCUGGUUGAGCAGUUGCGCCAGAACAAUGUGAACCUAGCAAAAGUACACAACAUUAUUGGAAGUUUUUUUGGGCUCAAUGGAGAAGCCCCCCUUUACAAAAAGAUCUCUGAAAAAUUUGUGUGGCAAAAUCACCAGGGUGCGGGCUGAAGAUGAUGUGAGGAAACUAUGGAGGUUUUCGCAGAACUCAGUUCAAGAGAUCGCCACUUCACUUAUCGUAUGCAAGCAGACAACGAUGGUCCGAUAACAAAUUUGAUGUGGGCGAAUGUGAGCAGCAGGUUGCAGUACACAUUCUUUGGAGACAUCGUUACUUUCGAUACGACUUACAGAACAAACAUGUACAACAUGCCAUUUGGUCUAUUCGUCGGUGUGAACAAUCAUUUUCAGAGUAUCAUCCUGGCUGGGGUUUUGGUUCGUGAUGAAUAAGAGAGAACAUUUGAGUAGGUUUUCACGGAGUUCGUUAGGAUGAUGGGAAUCAAUGCUGCGCAAUGGAGUUUGCCAUAAAAAAUGUAAUGCCUCAGACUGGUGCAUCGAUGGUUCAAGUGGCACGUGCUAAAAAAAGGCAGAAGAAUCACUCAAUUCAUUGUACACCAAGAAGAGUGAGUUCAGGGCAGAGUUCCACAAGGUAGUGAAUCACAUGCUUACAAUCGACAAAUUCGAGGAAGCUUGGAAGAUCUUGGUGGAGAAAUACAAUCUAAAGACUCACUCAUACAUGCCGCAACUGUAUGAAAUACGGCACAAGUGGGAGAAGCCAUAUUUCAAAGGUGUUUUCUGUGCAAAGAUGACCAGCACACAGUGCAGUGAACGUACAAACAACAUGCUGAAGAAUAAUGUUCCACCGGGUUGUCCAGUGAAUAUGUUUAUCAAGAAGUACAUGAGACUUCAAUUUGACAGGGAAGCAGAGGAGAACUACGAGGAGAAACAGACACAAAUAGUAAAAUUUAUUUGAUGAUUGACAGUAUAUAUGAACUGCUAGCCCAGUAACUAAUUUGGUUUAUCUGUGUUUCAGAGUAGGCCUCUACAAUGCAAAAUUAGCUAUCGAUCGUCAUCCUGGUAAGAUAUACACAUGAGCUAUGUUCGAGCAGUUUGGGCAUAUACUCUAUGAGUGUGGGGCAUACCAAGUUGAAGAGCUUGAGAAGGGGAAACUUUAUCGUGCGAUUCACAUGGAGGCUGUAAGGAGAGAAAAGUGCUGCAGAGUGUCGUACGAGGUAAAUGUACUGGAAGGGGGUGAUGAACUUGAAUGUGAGUGUGAGCCAUUUGCACACAUGGGUCUGCUAUGCAGCUAUGUUUUAAGGUGCUGGAUUUCAUUCAUAUAAUAGAGAUACCACAGAAACACAUCGUCAAGCGGUGGACCAGAGAUGCACGCGACAUACUACCGCCUCACCUUACUUAAUAUCUGAGAGAUAAUGCCCACAAUAACCCAUUCAGCUUCAGGCAUUUCAACAUGUACAUGCAUGCCAUGGAGCUGGCGUGGAUGGGUGACACAAGUGUUGAGGCCUGUGAGAAAUUCAUGUCUCUCAGUAAGAGUUGCUUGAUAUAGAUAUGCAACACUUUGCAGAGGUGAAGGAUGGGCUAGGAGGAUAGCUUAAAAGGGACAUGUCGUUAAUCAGGCACCAGUGCAGGCGACAAUUCUUGAUGGAAGUGGAGGUGCAUCUAUCGGAGCUUUGAAUGCUGAAGCUACUUCAGUGAACAAGUGGGAACAUGCUGGCUGGAUUGUUGGCUCCAAAGAAGCGAAAAGAGAUGGGUCGCCCAACAACUGCCCAGGAGAAGGCGCCAUACGAGGGUCUAAGCAAAUGGACGAGGUUCUGCACGAUAUGUCGUCAGCAGGGGCAUAAGAGGACAACCUGCCCAGACCUGGC